AGAUGUGAGGUUGAUGUGACAGCGAUAUCUGUCACCCUGGUGGAUCACCCCUGGUUGAUGUGACUGAUCUGGCUGGCAAGGCGGGUGGCCCUUUUCUGAAUCACCACACCAUGCUCUUCCUUCCAAAGCUGCGACUUGGUCCAACAGGACACGCUUCCAGGUAGAGACAAGGGAUGGUUCCCCCUUGGAAGCUAUAUAAGUAGCUGUGCCUCCCUGCUAGAACCUCCAAGCAAACUCUCAGAAAGGAAAACUUGUAUCACUGUGUCACUGUCAUCCCAUUGUUCAUCGAUUUGCUUGAGUGGGCACCAGGAAGGUCUCCAUUGUGA
rnacentral:snRNA from 1 species